rnacentral:rRNA from 1 species
CACGUAGGGUGCGAGCGUUGUCCGGAAUUAUUGGGCGUAAAGAGCUCGUAGGCGGUGUGUCGCGUCGGCCGUGAAAACCUGCAGCUUAACUGUGGGCUUGCGGUCGAUACGGGCAUCACUGGAGUUCGGCAGGGGAGACUGGAAUUCCUGGUGUAGCGGUGAAAUGCGUAGAGAUCAUGAGGAAGACCAGUGGCGAAGGCGGGUCUCUGGACAGUUCCUGACACUGAGGCACGAAGGCCAAGGGAGCAAACGGG